UUGAGGUUGGGAACAGUGCACUGGUAUAAAUUACAGAGAGUCACACUGAUCUGUCCUUUCCAUGACCAGAUCCUUCUGCUGCCAGAUCAACAAGGUCUACGGUGUUUCCUCUGUGGGAGACGCUGUGGAAACUUGACUGGUCUUGGAGCACUAAUGUCAUCAUGAAGGAGGCGGAGGUCAUGUAAAUCCUUGCUGCCAGGGGCGGGGUCAUCUGGCACAGCGCCAUUCAGAGGGGAAACUCAUUUGCAUGAGUCUCAAUCUUUGUUUUGUGCUGGUGUCCAGAUGUGCAGAGGCCUGCGCAGUCUGCCAAGCCUAUCACUGCUGUGAUGCCUGACGAUCCGCGCUUAAAGCCUCAAGUUUCCGACAAAUGCUACAAAGCCAAGAAAAAAACCAAUGAAUGUGAUGCCAAAACUGAACCAAGAAACCUCUUUAACACGUUGCUGACUCAUGAAUAAUGCUACAAAUGUAAAGUAAAGUGAAGAAGUGAAUUUUUGGUGAAACCUUUGGUUUCUGCAUUGCUUGGUUCAGUUGGUCCGGGGCCCAGCUGAUAAAACAACAAGCCCCGGAAAAAAUGAAAAAAAAAAAAUCUAAAUAAAAAU